rnacentral:rRNA from 1 species
AGGGCGUAUGGGGGAUGCCUAGGCUCUCAGAGGCGAAGAAGGACGUGAUAAGCUGCGAAAAGCUACGGGGAUUGGCACACACGAAUUGAUCCGUAGAUAUCCGAAUGGGGCAACCCAAUGCAUUGAAGAUGCAUUACCCAGGUAUGGGGGCAAACCCGCUGAACUGAAACAUCUAAGUAGGCGGAGGAGAAGAAAACAAAAGUGAUUCCGUAAGUAGUGGCGAGCGAACGCGGAUUAGCCCAAACCAGAGUUGUUACGGCAAUUUUGGGGUUGUAGGACCACGACAUUCUAUGCGGAUUGAACCGGAAUUACCUGGAAAGGUAAACCAGAGAGGGUGAUAGUCCUGUAUGGGUAAGAGAAGAUAUAGAUAGUGGUAUCCUGAGUAGCGCGGGGCACGUGAAACCCUGUGUGAAUUUGGCGGGACCAUCCGCUAAGGCUAAAUACUCCUGAGAGACCGAUAGUGAACCAGUACCGUGAGGGAAAGGUGAAAAGAACCGUGAAUAACGGAGUGAAAUAGAUCCUGAAACCAUACGCUUACAAGCGGUCGGAGCCCUUUCGUGGGGUGACGGCGUGCCUUUUGCAUAAUGAGCCUACGAGUUACCGUUGCUGGCAAGGAUAAGUACUUAUGGUAUGGAUCCGUAGCGAAAGCGAGUCUGAAUAGGGCGCAUGAGUCAGUAAUGGUAGACGCGAAACCGUGUGAUCUACCCAUGGGCAGGAUGAAGCUGUGGUAACACAUAGUGGAGGUCCGAACCGGUUGACGUUGAAAAGUCUUCGGAUGACCUGUGGGUAGGGGUGAAAGGCCAAUCAAACUCGGAAAUAGCUCGUACUCCCCGAAAUGCAUUUAGGUGCAGCGCUGGGUAUAAGUUAUAUAGAGGUAGAGCUACUGAUUGGAUGCGGGGGCUUCACCGCCUACCAAUUCCUGACAAACUCCGAAUGCUAUAUAAUGUUUACCAGCAGUGAGGGCAUGGGUGCUAAGGUCCAUGUCCGAGAGGGAAAGAACCCAGACCAUCAGCUAAGGUCCCCAAAUGUAUGCUAAGUUGAAAAAACGAGGUUUGUCUGCCCAGACAGCUAGGAUGUUGGCUUGGAAGCAGCCAUUCAUUUAAAGAGUGCGUAACAGCUCACUAGUCGAGCGGACGAGCAUGGAUAAUAAUCGGGCAUAAGCAUACUACCGAAGCUAUGGAUUUGACGUAAGUCAAGUGGUAGGGGAGCAUUCUAAACUGGGUCGAAGGUGUGAUGUGAGUCAUGCUGGACUGUUUAGAAAAGAAAAUGUAGGCAUAAGUAACGAUAAUGCGGGCGAGAAACCCGCACACCGAAAAACUAAGGUUUCCGCAGCUAUGCUAAUCAGCUGCGGGUUAGUCGGGUCCUAAGGCGAACCCGAAAGGGACAGUCGAUGGCCAACGGGUUAAUAUUCCCGUACUACUUAUAAUUGUGAUGGAGAGACGCAGUGGUGAAAGUACCGCGAACUGACGGAAUAGUUCGUUAAAGCACUUAGCUAUAGGCCCGGUAGGCAAAUCCGCUGGGACUGGUGAAAUGCGAUAGUACACGGAGUCUUCGGACAAAGUGAUAGUGUACCUAAAGGCUGCCAAGAAAAUCUUCUAAACUUAGAUUAUAAGUACCCGUACCGUAAACCGACACAGGUAGUUGAGGAGAGAAUCCUAAGGUGCUCGAGAGAUUCAUGGCUAAGGAAUUAGGCAAAAUAGACCUGUAACUUCGGGAGAAAGGUCGCCAGCGCAAGCUGGCCGCAGUGAAGAGGUCCAGGCGACUGUUUAUCAAAAACACAGGGCUCUGCAAAAUCGUAAGAUGAAGUAUAGGGCCUGACACCUGCCCGGUGCUGGAAGGUUAAGAGGAGAUGUUAUCUUCGGAGAAGCAUUGAAUUGAAGCCCCAGUAAACGGCGGCCGUAACUAUAACGGUCCUAAGGUAGCGAAAUUCCUUGUCGGGUAAGUUCCGACCUGCACGAAUGGUGUAACGAUCUGGACACUGUCUCAGCCAUGAGCUCGGUGAAAUUGUAGUAUCGGUGAAGAUGCCGAUUACCCGCAGUGGGACGAAAAGACCCUGUGCACCUUUACUAUAGCUUAAUAUUGACCUUGGACACGUGAUGUGUAGGAUAGGUGGGAGACUAUGAAGUGGCGUCGCUAGGCGUUGUGGAGUCAUUGUUGAAAUACCACCCUUUGCUUGUCUGAGGCCUAACCCCGUUUUGCGGGGGACAUUGUUAGGUGGGUAUCGUGACUGGGAAACGAAAAAUUCUGCUGCUGUGACAAUCUGAUGGUGAUUG